CCUACGGGAGGCAGCAGUGAGGAAUAUUGCUCAAUGGACGCAAGUCUGAACCAGCCAUGCCGCGUGCAGGAAGACGGCUCUAUGAGUUGUAAACUGCUUUUGUACGAGGGUAAACGCAGAUACGCGUAUCUGUCUGAAAGUAUCGUACGAGUAAGGAUCGGCUAACUCCGUGCCAGCAGCCGCGGUAAUACGGAGGAUUCAAGCGUUAUCCGGAUUUAUUGGGUUUAAAGGGUGCGUAGGCGGUCGGAUAAGUUAGAGGUGAAAUCCCGAGGCUCAACUUCGGAAUUGCCUCUGAUACUGGUAGGCUAGAGAGUAGUUGCGGUAGGCGGAAUGUAAGGUGUAGCGGUGAAAUGCUUAGAGAUCAUAAAGAACACCGAUUGCGAAGGCAGCUUACCAAGCUACUUCUGACGUUGAGGCACGAAAGCGUGGGGAGCAAACAGGAUUAGAUACCCGAGUAGUC
rnacentral:rRNA from 1 species